CCGGCGAUGUCCGAAUGGGGAAACCCAGUGCAAUUCGUUGCACUAUCGUUAACUGAAUACAUAGGUUAACGAGGCGAACCGGGGGAACUGAAACAUCUAAGUACCCCGAGGAAAAGAAAUCAACCGAGAUUCCCCCAGUAGCGGCGAGCGAACGGGGAGCAGCCCAGAGUCUGAAUCAGCUUGUGUGUUAGUGGAACGGUCUGGAAAGUCCGACGGUACAGGGUGAUAGUCCCGUACACCAAAAUGCACAGGUUGUGAACUCGAAGAGUAGGGCGGGACACGUGGUAUCCUGUCUGAAUAUGGGGGGACCAUCCUCCAAGGCUAAAUACUCCUGACUGACCGAUAGUGAACCAGUACCGUGAGGGAAAGGCGAAAAGAACCCCGGCGAGGGGAGUGAAAAAGAACCUGAAACCGUGUACGUACAAGCAGUGGGAGCACCUUCGGGUGUGACUGCGUACCUUUUGUAUAAUGGGUCAGCGACUUAUAUUCUGUAGCAAGGUUAACCGUAUAGGGGAGCCGCAGGGAAACCGAGUCUUAACUGGGCGUUAAGUUGCAGGGUAUAGACCCGAAACCCGGUGAUCUAGCCAUGGGCAGGUUGAAGGUUGGGUAACACUAACUGGAGGACCGAACCGACUAAUGUUGAAAAAUUAGCGGAUGACUUGUGGCUGGGGGUGAAAGGCCAAUCAAACCGGGAGAUAGCUGGUUCUCCCCGAAAGCUAUUUAGGUAGCGCCUCGUGAAUUCAUCUUCGGGGGUAGAGCACUGUUUCGGCUAGGGGGUCAUCCCGACUUACCAACCCGAUGCAAACUACGAAUACCGAAGAAUGUUAUCACGGGAGACACACGGCGGGUGCUAACGUCCGUCGUGAAGAGGGAAACAACCCAGACCGCCAGCUAAGGUCCCAAAGUCAUGGUUAAGUGGGAAACGAUGUGGGAAGGCACAGACAGCCAGGAUGUUGGCUUAGAAGCAGCCAUCAUUUAAAGAAAGCGUAAUAGCUCACUGGUCGAGUCGGCCUGCGCGGAAGAUGUAACGGGGCUAAACCAUGCACCGAAGCUGCGGCAGCGACACUAUGUGUUGUUGGGUAGGGGAGCGUUCUGUAAGCCUGCGAAGGUGACCUGUGAGGGUUGCUGGAGGUAUCAGAAGUGCGAAUGCUGACAUAAGUAACGAUAAAGCGGGUGAAAAGCCCGCUCGCCGGAAGACCAAGGGUUCCUGUCCAACGUUAAUCGGGGCAGGGUGAGUCGACCCCUAAGGCGAGGCCGAAAGGCGUAGUCGAUGGGAAACAGGUUAAUAUUCCUGUACUUGGUGUUACUGCGAAGGGGGGACGGAGAAGGCUAUGUUAGCCGGGCGACGGUUGUCCCGGUUUAAGCAUGUAGGCUGGUUAUCCAGGCAAAUCCGGAUAAUCAAGGCUGAGGUGUGAUGACGAGGCACUACGGUGCUGAAGUAACAAAUGCCCUGCUUCCAGGAAAAGCCUCUAAGCAUCAGGUAACAUCAAAUCGUACCCCAAACCGACACAGGUGGUCAGGUAGAGAAUACCAAGGCGCUUGAGAGAACUCGGGUGAAGGAACUAGGCAAAAUGGUGCCGUAACUUCGGGAGAAGGCACGCUGGUGUGUAGGUGAAGUCCCUGCGGAUGGAGCUGAGACCAGUCGAAGAUACCAGCUGGCUGCAACUGUUUAUUAAAAACACAGCACUGUGCAAACACGAAAGUGGACGUAUACGGUGUGACGCCUGCCCGGUGCCGGAAGGUUAAUUGAUGGGGUUAUCCGUAAGGAGAAGCUCUUGAUCGAAGCCCCGGUAAACGGCGGCCGUAACUAUAACGGUCCUAAGGUAGCGAAAUUCCUUGUCGGGUAAGUUCCGACCUGCACGAAUGGCGUAAUGAUGGCCAGGCUGUCUCCACCCGAGACUCAGUGAAAUUGAACUCGCUGUGAAGAUGCAGUGUACCCGCGGCAAGACGGAAAGACCCCGUGAACCUUUACUAUAGCUUGACACUGAACAUUGAGCCUUGAUGUGUAGGAUAGGUGGGAGGCUUUGAAGCGUGGACGCCAGUCUGCGUGGAGCCAACCUUGAAAUACCACCCUUUAAUGUUUGAUGUUCUAACGUUGGCCCCU
rnacentral:rRNA from 1 species